UUUAAUAUUAUUGGUGGCCGCCCAUGUGUGGACAAUCAAGAUGGCUCCUCUAGUGAAGGAAUUUUUAUAUCGAAAAUAAUUGACAGUGGGCCUGCUGCCAAAGAAGGAGGGCUGCAGAUUCACGACAGGAUUAUUGAGGGGAAGUAUUAGCUCCAUUUUACAGAUAGGGAAACCUGAGGCAGAAUGACUCCUGGAAGAAGUCAGUAUCAUGGAGGAUAGAUCCAACAGUGACUAUAUGGGUUACAACUAUAUGUUCUGGAUGAAGUGGAUGGCAGGGCAUGGAUCACUCACUGUUGACCUGUACUGUUAAUUCCUUCUGAAAACACCAGGCAUUGGCCACUGUCAGAAGACAGGAUACUGAGUUAGAUGGACCAUUGGUCUGAUCCAGUAUGGCCGUUCUUAUGUACGUUUUUGAAGGCUGAGUGCCUGUAUCCCUGUCCUAUGUUCAAUGUACCCGUAACUGCCUUUAUCUAGAAUAAAUUCUAAAAUAAUUUUGAAUGACUGGACUCAAUCUGCGUCUAGAUUUUUUCAGAAUUACUUGGAAGGUAAGUAAGUAACCCUAUAAUGGCAGGAUCUCUGCCUUCUGUUUUCUUGAACCAUAAACUUCCAUGGUCUAUAAAUACAAGGCAAACUGCUAUUAGAGAAAUUAUAGUUUAAUGUACUUAAUACAGUAAACCACUAGUGCUACAUUAAACAUGUUCCGUGGUAAGAUCCAGAAGAAGCUGUGUUAUGUAGGUAUUCACAAACACAUGCCCGUAAGAGGCUUGGCUCCUUCCCUAGAUAAGUCAGUGGGAAUUUUGUCCUUAUUUCAGCUGAAGCAGUUUUGGAACCUGUGGUAAAAAAGAGGUGAACUUAGGUACCCUAGAGACACCAAUGUUUUUAUGAGAAGGCUAUCUAUAAUCAGAGAGUAUGUUUUUGUUUUGGGAGCAAAGUGGCAGCUCAUUAUAUCUCUGAGUAAGAGCCUGCUUAGUUCCAUCUGACGAAGUGGGUCUUUGCCCACGAAAGCUUAUGCUUCAA